rnacentral:rRNA from 1 species
GACGAACGCUGGCGGCGUGCCUAAUACAUGCAAGUCGAACGAGAGCGACCGGUGCUUGCACUGGUCAAUCUAGUGGCGAACGGGUGAGUAGCACGUGGGUAACCUGCCCAUCAGAGGGGGAUAACAUCCGGAAACGGAUGCUAAAACCGCAUAGGUCUUCGAACCGCAUGGUUUGAAGAGGAAAAGAGGCGCAAGCUUCUGCUGAUGGAUGGACCCGCGGUGCAUUAGCUAGUUGGUGAGGUAACGGCUCACCAAGGCCGUGAUGCAUAGCCGACCUGAGAGGGUGAUCGGCCACAUUGGGACUGAGACACGGCCCAAACUCCUACGGGAGGCAGCAGUAGGGAAUCUUCCGCAAUGGACGCAAGUCUGACGGAGCAACGCCGCGUGAGUGAAGAAGGUUUUCGGAUCGUAAAACUCUGUUGUUAGAGAAGAACAAGUGCUAGAGUAACUGUUAGCGCCUUGACGGUAUCUAACCAGAAAGCCACGGCUAACUACGUG